GACGAACGCUGGCGGCGUGCCUAACACAUGCAAGUCGAGCGGAGAUUGCAUUUAUGUAAUCUUAGCGGCGGACGGGUGAGUAACGCGUGGGCAACCUGCCUUAGACAGGGGGGAUAACACUGGGAAACUAGUGCUAAUACCGCAUAACACAAUUUGAUGGCAUCAUCGAAUUGUCAAAGGAGUAAUCCGGUUUAAGAUGGGCCCGCGUCCGAUUAGCUAGUUGGUAAGGUAAAAGCUUACCAAGGCGACGAUCGGUAGCCGAACUGAGAGGUUGAUCGGCCACAUUGGGACUGAGACACGGCCCAGACUCCUACGGGAGGCAG
rnacentral:rRNA from 1 species